CUUGCGCAUUAUUUGUCACUUCCUUUGCCCGGGUGGCAAAGAAGAGAGUAUUACGAGAUUGCUCAAAAUGACUUAGUGCUGGACUCAAAGUACAAAUGAUGGCAGUACGUGCAUUUCCACCAAGUGAAUGCUGCAAAAUACGAUUGUCAAAGUCAUCAAACUAAGGUUAAUAUGACAACCUUCCUUCAGCCUUGCACCAUCAGCAUGAGUUUGUGAAGCUCUUUCACUGCCAGCUAGAUCCACAAAGUUCUGCAAGUGUUGAUUCAAACAGUUUGCCAUCAGGAACAAGAAUGUAUAUAUCCUUUUUGGGUACUAAAACAAGUGUGGCUGCGAAGCAAAUAUUUACUCAUUUUACUGGAUAAAGUUGGGAAGGGAUAAGAUCAUUCUUACCAGGCUUGCUACAAAUGAUCUCACACAAUCAGAAUUUUCACGCAGAGUACUUUGAAUUGUCUGCAGUUUUAUCCAAACAAAUUUAUGAGUUAGUUUCCUUGGGGCAUUGAGUAUAUAUUAAGGAACCAACAGAAACCAUCAUUCAUACCAGCCUUAUUAUUUGGUGUGAUCGUGAGCUAGUAUCAUUUAAGGCAGUUUCACCAACUUGCCUUUGAGCUACAGAAUGGCAGUAAAACAAUUAGCCUAGCAUUUAGAAGAGAAGGGGAAAAGUUUGCUAUCUCAAA